rnacentral:rRNA from 1 species
AAUCAACGCUGGCGGCGUGCCUCAGACAUGCAAGUCGAACGCGAAAGUCCCCUUCGGGGGGCAAGUAGAGUGGCGCACGGGUGAGUAACACGUAGGUAAUCUACCUUUGGAUGGGGAAUAACAACCGGAAACGGUUGCUAAUACCGCAUAAUGCAGCGGCACCUAAUGGUGACAGUUGUUAAAGCGGGGGAUCGAAAGACCUCGCGUCUGAAGAGGAGCCUGCGGCGGAUUAGCUAGUUGGUAAGGUAACGGCUUACCAAGGCAACGAUCCGUAGCCGGCCUGAGAGGGCGGUCGGCCACACUGACACUGACAUACGGGUCAGACUCCUACGGGAGGCAGCAGUCGGGAAUUUUGGGCAAUGGGCGAAAGCCUGACCCAGCAACGCCGCGUGAAGGAUGAAAUCCCUCGGGAUGUAAACUUCGCAAGAAUGGGAAGAAUAAGUGUGGGCUAAUACCCUCAUGAUGACGGUACCAUUUGUAAG